UGGGGAAUAUUGGGCAAUGGGCGAAAGCCUGACCCAGCGACGCCGCGUGAGGGAAGAAGGUCUUCGGAUUGUAAACCUCUUUCAGCAGGGAAGAAGCAAGUGACGGUACCUGCAGAAGAAGUCACGGCUAACUACGUGCCAGCAGCCGCGGUAAUACGUAGGUGGCGAGCGUUAUCCGGAAUUACUGGGUGUAAAGGGUGUGUAGGCGGGGAGGCAAGUCAGAUGUGAAAACCAAAAGCUCAACUUUUGGCCUGCAUUUGAAACUGUUUCUCUUGAGAGUGGGAGAGGUAAAUGGAAUUCCUGGUGUAGUAGUGAAAUGCGUAGAUAUCAGGAGGAACACCGGUGGCGAAGGCGGUUUACUGGACCACAACUGACGCUGAGACACGAAAGCGUGGGGAGCAAACAGG
rnacentral:rRNA from 1 species